rnacentral:rRNA from 1 species
UACGUAGGGGGCAAGCGUUGUCCGGAAUCAUUGGGCGUAAAGCGCGUGUAGGCGGCCCGAUAAGUCCGCUGUGAAAGUCCAGGGCUCAACCCUGGGAUGCCGGUGGAUACUGUCGGGCUCGAGUCCGGAAGAGGAGUGUGGAAUUCCUGGUGUAGCGGUGAAUGCGCAGAUAUCAGGAGGAACACCAAUGGCGAAGGCAGCACUCUGGGACGUGACUGACGCUGAGACGCGAAAGCGUGGGGGAGCAAACAGG